rnacentral:pre_miRNA from 1 species
UAACCUCCAUAGACUGGGUAUCCUCCAGGCUGGGCUGAGCGAGUAUCUCUUUGAAAGGCUCACUCAGAAGUAUAACUAGGGGC